ensembl:lncRNA
UUUUUUUUUUUUUGCAUUAGUCAAGAAAAUUUGAGAGUACUGGAUAAAUGUAUGGUUUUGCCAGGAAGCAAAGAGAUGGUGACUAUCUUUGAAGAGUAUCUUCUGUUGCACCUGAAAAUGGGCAGCUCAGCCUGUGACACACAGGGAUGCACUGAAGGUCCACUGAUGGCCUUGACCUCAGAGACUCAUCACUGUCCUUUUAAGUUCUGAUAGCUGACUCUCCUGACCUUAUUAGAAUAGCACUCCCCACCCCCAAGAGCUGAAACCCCAAGCCUGUGUGCAUCCAGAUAUCACACACAUACUUGCACAUACAUGCGUGCAUGAUGAAAGUUUGUUAAUUAACUUUGAUAACUGAUAAGGGUAUAGGUCAUCCCUCGGGCCUGAUCAGUGCAUUCCUUCAGAAUGGAGGAUGCAAGUUGCGUUUCAGAAAAAUCUUUCCUUAAGGAAACUUUAAGCUCUCUCACAGGAUCAGGGCCAGGAAAACCUCUGUUCAGGACAAUGCUUCUGCAAACCUCCUUUUUCUUGAUUCUUAUAACUAAUCAUUUUCCCUUUCCGACUCUGCUUCCCAGAGAGAUGCAUUCUCUUCAGAGGGAUUCUUUAUCAAUAUGUAUUCAUUUAGUUGUGUUCUGAGUAUUGUUCUACCACCUGCUUCCCUGGAUUUUCUCCUAGUUUGGUAUCUUUGGAAUUCCCAAGUUUUUGAUUCAAGGAUUUGGGAUGAUUUCCAGGUUUCCUUCCACAGGUGGCUAAUCCAUUGUGUAUGGAUUUUAGUAAUAUAGCUCUUAUAGCGAACUCCAUUUCCAAAGUCUUAGAAGACAUCUUAUUGUGGCCUCUAGAUCGUACACUAUGUUCUAAUCCUGUGAUGUGCUGGUAGGAGCAAACUCUCCCCAGAGCACAGUUCCUGGUUGCAGAGAUAGACACUGAAUCGGUGUCUUCCAUCUACCAUCUCUCCUCUGAAUUAGGCACGUACUUUCCACUCUUCAGGGAAACUGACUCUAGACAUUCUUCUCACACUGCAUAUAAAGACUUGGAAUGAAAGUUGGUGAGUCCCAGAACAGCAACUUUUGAAAUAGCAGAGGAUUCAAGUAAGAGAUGAGAAAGCAGCUGCAAAUGAGUACAUGUGAACUGAAAAGUUAGCAACUUUGGCCCUCAAAUGGGGCAGGGAGCAGAAGUUGAAUUCUAUCUCUCUAGGUCAGUUUAUCAGUUGUAGUUUCAGGUGUCCCAGCUUCUCACGUCUCACUUGCUUAGCAAACAUCUACUAGUCACCUUUAACAUGCACAGUGCGGAGGGCGGGCAGAGGAUGAAUAAAAGUUGAACAAGACAUUGUACGUGCACUCCAGGAGCCCACGGCCUAGUGAAGGCCAGGACACUGGCUUACUGGCAAAUGGUUCCCAGAAUAAGUUUCGGGUAGUGACUGGCAAGAAGGAGAAGGAACAUUUGGAAUUACCUGGAGAGGCAGUCAACCUUGGAGUCCUUCCUGCAAGCACAAGGCUAUUUCUCUGCGCUGGGAGCCUGGGUCUCCUUCUCCCUGCCCUCCCAUUCUUUCCUUCUGGCCUAUGGAGUCUGGCUCUUCUCCCCACCUGAGGCAGUGGCGCUGCUUUACAGCAUGAGUCAUCUCCACCCUAACACGCAGAGAGGCACCCCCUCCCUGAAAGGAACAAGAACUUUCAGAUUAAGCUCAAGUUGAGGCCAAUAUAUUUACUUAAAAGGUGAGGUUAAAGAGUAGAAACCCUUAUUUGACUGAGAAUGGGCUUUGACACCUUUUUUAUUUGAUUUUUUAUUUUUAUUUUUUGUCUUGUUAGAGCUUCACCUGCAGCAUAUGGAGGCUCCCAGACUAGGGGUCCAGUUGGAGCCGCAGUCACUGGCCAACACCAUAGCCACAGCAACUCAGGAUCUGAGCUGCAUCUGCAACCUACACCACAGCUCAUGGCAACCCAGAUCCUCAACCAACUGAGUGAGCCAGGGAUUGAACCCACAUCCUCAUGGAUCCUAGUCAGGUUUGCUAAUGGCUGAGCCAUAACAGGAACCCCAACACCCUUCUUUAAAGCAUAAGGAUUUGUACAUUUUAAAAAAUGCAUCUACCCUGGUAUCCUGAGACCUCAGGACUAAAUACUUUGAACUAGUGAAUGAGAAAAGGUGAGGAAGUAAAUGAGCCUCAUGUAAAAUUAACUAGAAGAGUUGUAUUCAUUUUAGCUAAAGUAAAUCUAAAACCAAGUGAAAUGUUCCAAGAGCAGAUAUUCCGACAGAUUUAUUGUUCAUAAAAUGAUGAUCCAGGGUGUUAUGAAUUUGACAAAUAUUUAGUAUAUUUAGUGUCAGUCACCUUAGUGAGCACUAGAAAUACUGAGUGGGAAGUCUCAGCCCUCAUGGUUCCUUGAUGUUGCUUCAAAGUAAAAGGCAUAGCUUCCUAAAAGUUGUGCCAUACUACAAGCCUUCUCUCUCUCUCUCUCUCUCUCUCUCUCUCUCUCUCUCUCUCUCUCUCUCCCCACACCCACCACACCAACCUUUCUUUCUCUUCCUCCCCCUCACUUUCUGUCCUCUCCCUCUCCCACCCUCUCUCCCUACACUGAUGAGAAUCACAGUGUCUGCUGGCAGCUACCACACUGACAUCCAGGCACUGCUUUAUGUCACCCAUACUUUGCUACAUGGUUGUAUCAGUCAGGCUAGACUAAGUUAUGCUAUAAUAACAAACAACUCUAAAAUCUUAAUGGCUUAAAACAACCAAGGUUUAGUUUUCACUUAAGCCACAUAUUAAUCACAAGUCAGCAGGGAUCUUUGUUUUUUGUAGUCACUUAGAGACCCAAGCUGGUGGAGCUGCUGCCAUCUUGAGUGCUGCUGGUGAUGAUGAUAACUGGAAUGAGAAGGCUCUGGAAAGUCUCAAAAAUAGGUUCCCAGCCUAGAAGUGUCACAUAUCACUUCCACACAGAAUUCACAAAGCCCCCUUCAACCAUAAAGAAGCCAAGAAGUUUAAUCUUACUUUGUGCCAGAACUGAGGAAAACGGAAUAUUUGGCAAAUAGUACCAGUGACUAUGACAGAUGUGUGUAGUGGAUUUGACAGUGUUUUUCCAAACCCUAAGAUGCUAGGACACUGGGCAAGUUCAGCCUCACUAUAGUGAAUUCAGGCUCCUCAGCCUCAGAGGAAAAUAGGAAAAGGAUGAUUCCUUCUAGUUCCCUGGAAUAGACUGAUCCCAGGAUGACCUUUCAUGCCAUUCUCCAACCAUAGAGAUAAAUACACAUACCCACCAACACACACACACACACACGCGCGCACAAUGAAGAUAAGGGAGGUGGGGACCCAGAGUAAUGAAAUGAUGAAAUGCAGAGAUUUUAAAAUCAGCCAGAGUUGGAUUUGCAUCCUGCUUUCACUAUUUACUGCCCAUGUGAAGUUGGGCACUUAUCUUAACUCAUCUGUGUCUCAGUUUCCUCAUCCAAAAAAAAAAAAAAACCAGGACUAAUAAACUCAUAAGUUUAUUGUUGGACACAUGGACAGAAAGCAUUCUAAUCCCUUAGCCCAGGGCCUGGUAACUGACAAGUCCUCAAUAAGUGGUAAUAAUUAUUGUUAGUGUUAGGAUUAGAGGAAUAAGUAAAUAUCAAUGUAAUGUCUGAAAGAACUCACAAGUAGAAAAUAUGAAAUUUUUUUUUUUUGCUUUUUAGGGCUGCACCUGUAGCAUAUGGAGGUUCCCAGGCUAGGGGUCGAAUCUGAACUGCAGCUGUCAGCCACAGAAAUGCGGGAUCCAAGCCACGUCUGUGACCUACACAACAGCUCAUGGCAAUGCCGGAUCCUUAACCCGCUGAGUGAGGCCAAACCCACAUCCUUAUGGAUACUAGUCAGGUUUGUUACCACUGAGCCACAGUGGGAACUCCAAAAUCUGAAAGAUGUUUUUGAAUGUUUGCCAUUUCCUCAAGAAAAGUUCUAAGUGUCAAGAAAAGGUGUGUGGGAGACAUGUGCACAAAUAACAAGUAAUGCACAUGAGCAUUCCCAUCGUGGUGCAGCAGAAACGAAUCUGACUAGCAUCCAUGAGGACGCAGGUUCGAUCCCUGGCCUCAAUCAUUGGGUUAAAGGAUCCAGCAUUGCUGUGAGCUGUGGUAUAGGUUGCAGACUUGGCUUGGAUCUGGCAUGGCUGUGGCUGUGGCAUAGGCCAGCAGCUGUAGCUCUGAUUUGACCCCUGGCCUGGGAACCUCCAUAUGCCUUGGGUGCAGCCCUAAAAAGACNAAAAAAAAAAAAAAAAAAAAAAAAAA